UACGAAGGGGGCUAGCGUUGUUCGGAAUUACUGGGCGUAAAAGCGCACGUAGGCGGAUAUUUAAGUCAGGGGUGAAAUCCCAGAGCUCAACUCUGGAACUGCCUUUGAUACUGGGUAUCUUGAGUAUGGAAGAGGUAAGUGGAAUUGCGAGUGUAGAGGUGAAAUUCGUAGAUAUUCGCAAGAACACCAGUGGCGAAGGCGGCUCACUGGUCCGGUACUGACGCUGAGGUGCGAAAAGCGUGGGGGAGCAAACAGG
rnacentral:rRNA from 1 species